rnacentral:rRNA from 1 species
AUAUCAAUAAGCGGAGGAAAAGAAACUAACAAGGAUUCCCCUAGUAACUGCGAGUGAAGCGGGAAGAGCUCAAAUUUAAAAUCUGGCGUGCCUCUGGUCGUCCGAGUUGUAGUCUGGAGAAGCGUUUUCCGUGUUGGACCGUGUAUAAGUCUCUUGGAACAGGGCGUCAUAGAGGGUGAGAAUCCCGUCUUUGACACGGACUACCAAUGCUUUGUGAUGCGCUCUCAAAGAGUCGAGUUGUUUGGGAAUGCAGCUCAAAAUGGGUGGUAAAUUCCAUCUAAAGCUAAAUAUAGGCGAGAGACCGAUAGCGAACAAGUACCGUGAGGGAAAGAUGAAAAGCACUUUGGAAAGAGAGUUAAACAGUAC